rnacentral:rRNA from 1 species
UUCCGGUUGAUCCUGCCAGAGGCUAUUGCUAUCAGGGUUUGACUAAGCCAUGCGAGUCGAGAGGUGAAAGACCUCGGCAUACUGCUCAGUAACACGUGGAUAAUCUGCCCUCAGAUGAGGAAUAAUCCCGGGAAACUGGGGCUAAUGCCUCAUAGGAGACGGGUGCUGGAAUGCUCUGGCUCUGAAAGGUCCGCCGUCUGAGGAUGAGUCUGCGUCCGAUUAGGUUGUUGUUGGGGUAACGGCCCACCAAGCCAUUGAUCGGUACGGGUUGUGGGAGCAAGAGCCCGGAGAUGGAUUUUGAGACAUGAAUCCAGGCCCUACGGGGCGCAGCAGGCGCGAAAGCUUUACAAUGCGAGCAAUCGUGAUAAGGAAACCCUGAGUGCCUGUCAAUGCAGGCUGUUUUGGUGUUUAUUCUCGCACC